GGGGACGCGCACGCCGCCCUCUGACCCCGCAGCGUCGUGGCUAGAGUAGGGUCUGGAGAGAGCUCCCACUGUGGCGAGUCCUGUCGUUGGAUUCCCGCGGCGCCCCGUAAGGCUCCGCCCCGGCGGUGCUACCAAACCCUGUUCGAUUUUAGAAUCGUACAUUCCCAGAGGGAAUCCUAGACCCCUCAUUUUACAGUUGAGGAAACAGGCCCAAGUAGCAUGACUUGUUCGCGCCGCUAGUCGAAGGAGCAGCAGCCCCGAUCCCUUGACUCUGGGGCACUGCUUUCCCUUUAGCUCAUUUUUGGAGGAAAUGGGUGCGCCCUUGCUCGACCUUUGGUGAUUGCCGCCACAGGCCUUCCCGCCGGCUAACUCAGCGUGCCCAAGUCCCGUGACUUAGUGCCAGGACGGUGCUGUGACCCGUUAUCCCCUGUCGGGUUUUACCUCCCCCCGGGAGAGCUCAGCCCUGGAUCCCGGCGGGCGGCGGAGCCUCUCUGGAGCCCGGACGGGACAGCCCACCAGGGUCUGCUUCUGUGAGGGGCCGAGGCGUCAUUCCGCGAAGCCUUCUCCUUGCUGUUGCCAUGUGAAGAAGGAUGUGUUUGCUUCCCCUUCUGCCAUGAUUGAAAAGAAGCAUAAGCUGCAAUAAAAAUUUGGUUUCAAGAUAACAAAGUCAGUCCCCAAAAAUCAGUAUUGAGAGUCACUGACAUUAAAUGAUGAAGAUACGAGGAUGGUGU
rnacentral:lncRNA from 10 species